AUACGUAGGGGGCGAGCGUUGUCCGGAAUGAUUGGGCGUAAAGGGCGCGUAGGCGGCCCGGUAAGUCUGGAGUGAAAGUCCUGCUUUUAAGGUGGGAAUUGCUUUGGAUACUGUCGGGCUUGAGUGCAGGAGAGGUAAGUGGAAUUCCCAGUGUAGUGGUGAAAUGCGUAGAGAUUGGGAGGAACACCAGUGGCGAAGGCGACUUACUGGACUGUAACUGACGCUGAGGCGCGAAAGUGUGGGGAGCAAACAGGAUUAGAUCCCCGGGUAGUCCACGCCGUAAACGAUGAAUGCUAGGUGUCGGGGGGCAAAGCCCUUCGGUGCCGCCGCUAACGCAUUAAGCAUUCCACCUGGGGAGUACGUUCGCAAGAAUGAAACUCAAAGGAAUUGACGGGG
rnacentral:rRNA from 1 species